rnacentral:rRNA from 1 species
GUGCCAGCCGCCGCGGCUAAUACGUAGGUGGCAAGCGUUGUCCGGAUUUAUUGGGCGUAAAGCGAGCGCAGGCGGUUUCUUAAGUCUGAUGUGAAAGCCUUCGGCUCAACCGAAGAAGUGCAUCGGAAACUGGGAAACUUGAGUGCAGAAGAGGACAGUGGAACUCCAUGUGUAGCGGUGAAAUGCGUAGAUAUAUGGAAGAACACCAGUGGCGAAGGCGGCUGUCUGGUCUGUAACUGACGCUGAGGCUCGAAAGCAUGGGUAGCAAACAGGAUUAGAUACCCUGGUAGUCCAUGCCGUAAACGAUGAGUGCUAGGUGUUGGAGGGUUUCCGCCCUUCAGUGCCGCAGCUAACGCAUUAAGCACUCCGCCUGGGGAGUACGACCGCAAGGUUGAAACUCAAAGGAAUUGACGGGGGCCCGCACAAGCGGUGGAGCAUGUGGUUUAAUUCGAAGCAACGCGAAGAACCUUACCAGGUCUUGACAUCCUUUGACCACUCUAGAGAUAGAGCUUUCCCUUCGGGGACAAAGUGACAGGUGGUGCAUGGUUGUCGUCAGCUCGUGUCGUGAGAUGUUGGGUUAAGUCCCGCAACGAGCGCAACCCUUAUUACUAGUUGCCAGCAUUUAGUUGGGCACUCUAGUGAGACUGCCGGUGACAAACCGGAGGAAGGUGGGGACGACGUCAAAUCAUCAUGCCCCUUAUGACCUGGGCUACACACGUGCUACAAUGGAUGGUACAACGAGUUGCGAGACCGCGAGGUUUAGCUAAUCUCUUAAAACCAUUCUCAGUUCGGAUUGUAGGCUGCAACUCGCCUACAUGAAGCCGGAAUCGCUAGUAAUCGCGGAUCAGCAUGCCGCGGUGAAUACGUUCCCGGGCCUUGUACACACCGCCCGU